GAUGAACGCUGGCGGCGUGCCUAAUACAUGCAAGUCGAGCGAACGGACGAGAAGCUUGCUUCUCUGAUGUUAGCGGCGGACGGGUGAGUAACACGUGGAUAACCUACCUAUAAGACUGGGAUAACUUCGGGAAACCGGAGCUAAUACCGGAUAAUAUUUUGAACCGCAUGGUUCAAAAGUGAAAGACGGUUUUGCUGUCACUUAUAGAUGGAUCCGCGCUGCAUUAGCUAGUUGGUAAGGUAACGGCUUACCAAGGCAACGAUGCAUAGCCGACCUGAGAGGGUGAUCGGCCACACUGGAACUGAGACACGGUCCAGACUCCUACGGGAGGCAGCAGUAGGGAAUCUUCCGCAAUGGGCGAAAGCCUGACGGAGCAACGCCGCGUGAGUGAUGAAGGUCUUCGGAUCGUAAAACUCUGUUAUUAGGGAAGAACAUAUGUGUAAGUAACUAUGCACGUCUUGUCGGUACCUAAUCAGAAAGCCACGGCUAACUACGUG
rnacentral:rRNA from 1 species